rnacentral:rRNA from 1 species
ACGGCGAGUGAAGAGGGAAAAGCUCAAGUUUGGAAGCUUCGUGGCAUAGCUACGACGCGUUGUAAACUGAAGUUUUUUGGGUGAUUGGGCGACCGGAUAAAUAAGUCCUUUGGAAAGGGGCAACAUAGAGGGUGACAUUCCCGUCUUUGGUCCGAGUCAGUGCAGUCGCUGCCCAGGAAACGACGAGUCAGGUUGUUUGGGAAUGCAGCCUAAAAUGGGAGGUAAAUCUCUCCUAAAGCUAAAUACUGGCGUAAGACCGAUAGCGAACAAGUACCGUGAGGGAAAGAUGAAAAGGACUUUGAAAAGAGGGUCAAAUAGUACGUGAAAUUGUUGAAAGGGAACCGUAUGAAAGUAGACUGGCUUGGUGAUGAUCAAUGUGUGUUUCGGCACGCAUGCACUCAUUGCCUUUGCCAGCCAGCGGCAGUUUUUGCUAAAGGAAGAAAAUCAGGGGAAUGUAGCUUCGAUUUCGGUUGAAGUGUUAUAGCUCCUGGUAAAAUACUUUGGCAGAGACUGAGGCUAGCAGCGGAUCUUUGGGAACUUUGCGCGCUUGUCGUCCAAUGGUUAAGUUUUCUUCGGAUGCUUGGUCAUUGGGUGGCAACUCGUGUGAUGCUUCACCCUUCCGCUUAGGUCGCUGG